UACGUAGGGUCCGAGCGUUGUCCGGAAUUAUUGGGCGUAAAGGGCUCGUAGGCGGUCUGUUGCGUCGGGAGUGAAAACUUACAGCUUAACUGUGAGCGUGCUUUCGAUACGGGCAGACUUGAGGCAUUCAGGGGAGAACGGAAUUCCCGGUGUAGCGGUGAAAUGCGUAGAGAUGUGGAGGAACACCGAUGGCGAAGGCAGCCUUCUGGGCCAACACUGACGCUCAUGCACGAAAGCGUGGGGAGCAAACAGG
rnacentral:rRNA from 1 species